rnacentral:rRNA from 1 species
UGGGGAAUAUUGCACAAUGGGCGCAAGCCUGAUGCAGCCAUGCCGCGUGUGUGAAGAAGGCCUUCGGGUUGUAAAGCACUUUCAGCGAGGAGGAAGGUGGUGAACUUAAUACGUUCAUCAAUUGACGUUACUCGCAGAAGAAGCACCGGCUAACUCCGUGCCAGCAGCCGCGGUAAUACGGAGGGUGCAAGCGUUAAUCGGAAUUACUGGGCGUAAAGCGCACGCAGGCGGUUUGUUAAGUCAGAUGUGAAAUCCCCGGGCUCAACCUGGGAACUGCAUUUGAAACUGGCAAGCUAGAGUCUCGUAGAGGGGGGUAGAAUUCCAGGUGUAGCGGUGAAAUGCGUAGAGAUCUGGAGGAAUACCGGUGGCGAAGGCGGCCCCCCUGGANGAAGACUGACGCUCAGGUGCGAAAAGGCGUGGGGGAGCAAACAGAUUAGNUACCCUGGUAGUCCACCGCUGUAAACGAU